AGCCCAGCACCUGGACACGGGCAGCACAGAUUCAACUCCGGAGGAAAGAAGGAAGGGGCGACUGGGGUGCCCGCUCACCCACCCGCUCGCCUCGCCGGAGCGUUCCUCUGCCUCCUCGGGGCUGCCGGGCAGGACCUCUGAGCCCUGUCGGGUCUCGCGGCUCCUGAGCCGCCCUAGAGCUGCGAGAAGGAGGUCGGGGUUAAGAAAGGAGGCGAGGAAGACAGCGUCCCGGCACCCUGGUUCGGCUCCGCCAGGGCGCAGGCGGCGACGGUGGAGGGGACGCAGCUGCCCCGGCCGCGGAGCCGUGAACCGCCGAGCUCCGGGAGGGCAGCGGAGGCGACCGCGGGGCUGCUAUUGCCGCCGCGGCGGUGCCGUUGCCACCGCUCCAGGACGGCUCCGGUGACUCCUUCCUUUCCCUCCACCGCCCGCUGCUCAGGAUCCGCAGGGGUCUCUCUGCUCUUUCUCUCUCUCCCUUUUCUCUCCGCACCUCUCCUCUCUUCGCCUCUCCGCCCCUUCCCCCUAUCUCUCUGUGCCUCCCUCUCGCUCACUAUCACAAGUGUGGAGUUGUGAAGUUCCAACCUUCCUCUCCUGCCUCGUGCACUCCCCGCGCGGAUCCGGGAGCUGCCCUUCCCAGCCCCGAGGGUGACGGUGCUGGGAAGGACAGGGGGAAGACGAGGAGAAGGAGCAUGUCGUCCCAAUCCAGGUGUCCUGGCGCGCCCCGCCUGGGUAUAGGAGGUGUCUUACAAGGGUGUAACAGCGAUACCACGUCUUGAGAAAGGAACGGAGCAGGGGGAAUCAUCUCGGAGGCUGCUGAAGGAGGUGGAGCUUGCAGGGGGACUGGGAAGCAGAGGCUGCAGGCAUCCAAACCCUGAGCAAGGAAUCCAGCACCUGUGAAAAGUGCCAGCACUGGUGUGGGACUAGCAUACCUCACUGCGGGAGGCACAGCUGGGGCCUCCCCAGAGCACAAUGCCCCCCAAACUCCAAAAGUUCCUUGAAGCCAAUUGGAUUUCUCUAAGAAGUCUGUUCCAGAAAGAUGUAUCAUGAGGAAGUGCAACUCAAAGAACUAGCUCUAUCCUAAGAGAUCCUUAUGAGCACAGAGCUUGCUGGAGGUUAUCACUGAAGUAAAAUCAGACUCUAAGAGUGUUCAGAGGACCAGAUAGCAAGACUCACAUUACAGACUCAAUACAGUGUCUGCACUGUGUUUCAUGUACCCUAAAUAUGUAGACAUAACCUUAUGUGGAUAAUAUGUGAUAUUAUACUGAGCGCAUAAAAUAUUCUGCAAGUGUGCUUAAUUUGAAGAAUUAUGGAAAUUUGAUAUGAAUCAAAGCAUAAUGUUGGACACAUUGUGGGGAUGGUCAAUAAAUACUUGUUUUAUGUAUAA